ACAUGAACUGAAUCAUUUUCAUUCUCAUCUGUUACCAACAUUGACCCUACACACACCCUAGCUCUCAUCUCCACCCAACACUACACCAUGAAACUCAUUUUUGAACAAAAUAUUAAUGGGAGCACAAACGGAUAGAGCAAUAAAAAUGUAUCCAUAUCAUUACAAAAGAAGUCACAGAAGUGACAUGUGAGCUGGAUCUUUGCCAGACAGAGGAUGGACAGAGUGGGGGAAGGGCGAGUGCCUUCCAGGUGAAGACACGAUAAGAAGUGGAGAAGCUGGCUGCCUGCAAACCAGAGUGAGGACUCUUACCAGACAGUGAAUGCAUUCAAAUCACAAUAGAAAAUCAAGUGAUUCAUGUUGGCGCAGAGAAAGAAAAAUCAUUAUUGUUCACUGUGUUUUCUAGAAGGAACAUAGAGAAUCGGGUUUGGUGGUUUUCAGGCAGCAUCAUGUAAGAACACUUAAAAUUAAAGAGCAAAGAUUGAGUUCUAAAAAAGGAAUAUUUGGGGACCCCGAAGCAUUUCAGGGAUGCUGAGUCAGAAAAGGAAGGAGAAUCAAAUGUUAACCCUGAGGAAGUGCAGCAAGUCCAGGUGUUGCAAAGCAAGCAAGCCCCAGGGAUCUGCACACCUGUACCAUUGCACACCUGUACCAUUCUGGCAACUCUGUGAAGGAUGGAGAGGGUGAGCCACGGUUUGAGCUCAGAGAGCUGUACAAGCAUAUUUGAGAAACCCAGCUUUAUUCCCUCUCAUAUGUAACUAUUCCACAAGCCUCAAAGACAUUGGGCUUCUCUGCGUGGUCAAAGUUGAGUUGCAAGAUCAUAUGAGUUCCAAAGAGAAAGAUGAGGGAGUGAAUUGUGAUGUUGAAGUGCAGGUCUAAAAAUGCAUUAAGUCUCUUUUGCCUGCAUUCCAAAGCUCUAAAUUAAUCCAUUGCCUCAGCUGCAAGAGAACUUAGGAAAUUCAUUCUCUAACUGGAUAACCAUGGGCUACCAGCCCACUCACUGACAGAAUGGAAGACUGGUCUUCAAUGGACAGCCCAGUGAUAAGCUUUAUCCAAACUGGUGCUGUCUCAGGAUUCCUGGACUGCCUAUCUAGCCAGGUCUCCUCUGCAUGGAAGUGAAGUGAGGAGACUCAGAAGAUUGAAUAGAAAGAAGGCAUGUUACUGGAAUACAUAAAGAAUUAGACAUUCUUCUAAAGUGUACUGUUUCUUACUCCCAAUGGAAAUUGAACCAAUUCAAGUCACUUUGCUUUUAUAGCUUCCAUUUUUCUCCAAUUUAAAAAUAAAAGAGCAACUAAUAACACUAGGCCAUCAGUUCAGCUCUCUGGAAGCUAAGUGAGAGUAUUCCUGUCCCCUGCUUUCCAGUGCAAGAGUAACAACAACUUGCAAAGGACAUUAUGGACUAUUCAGUUAGACUACCAAAACAGAGUCAAAAAUAGCUCAUA